ACGGGAGGCAGCAGUGAGGAAUAUUGGUCAAUGGGCGGAAGCCUGAACCAGCCAAGUCGCGUGAAGGAAGACGGUAUUAUGUAUUGUAAACUUCUUUAGCAGGGGAGCAAUAAUCGCCACGCGUGGUGAGAUGAGAGUACCCUGAGAAUAAGCAUCGGCUAACUCCGUGCCAGCAGCCGCGGUAAUACGGAGGAUGCGAGCGUUAUCCGGAUUUAUUGGGUUUAAAGGGUGCGCAGGCGGUCUUUUAAGUCAGUGGUUAAAUCGUGGAGCUUAACUCCAUCCCGCCAUUGAUACUGGAGGACUUGAUUGCGGUUGAGGUUGGCGGAAUUCGCCGUGUAGCGGUGAAAUGCAUAGAUAUGGCGAAGAACUCCGAUUGCGUAGGCAGCUGACCAAGCCGUAAAUGACGCUCAUGCACGAAAGUGCGGGGAUCGAACAGGAUUAGAUACCCUGGUA
rnacentral:rRNA from 1 species